UUGCCUUCAGCAGCCAGCAGCAGCCAGCAACAGCAUCAUCAGCCAUCAUCAUCGACUGUUCACAGUUGUCGUUUGGCUUUCAUUGCCGCCGGGAGGAGCGUGUAUUUGGACGAAAACUCUAAAAAUUCGCGGCGAAUAAAGUAAUUUGGAAACCUCCAACAUUUCUAAAAACGAACGAUAUGUUUAGUAUUUCGACCUAUUGGCUCUUCUGAUAGUAUACUGAAAUUAUGGCGCUUUUAAUACAUCGAUUUUAUAAUUAAUGAAAAACCAAUACUGGAACAUAAAUAUUUAAAAUAUGUU